UACGUAGGGCGCAAGCGUUGUCCGGAAUUAUUGGGCGUAAAGAGCUCGUAGGCGGCCUGUUGCGUCCGCUGUGAAAUCCCGGGGCUCAACCCCGGGCCUGCAGUGGAUACGGGCUGGCUGGAGGCAGGCAGGGGAGAACGGAAUUCCUGGUGUAGCGGUGAAAUGCGCAGAUAUCAGGAGGAACACCGGUGGCGAAGGCAGCUCGCUGGGACGGUACUGACGCUGAGACGCGAAAGCGUGGGGAGCAAACAGG
rnacentral:rRNA from 1 species